AGAGUUUGAUCCUGGCUCAGGACGAACGCUGGCGGCGCGCCUAACACAUGCAAGUCGAACGGAGCAAAGAGGAGCUUGCUUUUCUUUGCUUAGUGGCGAACGGGUGAGUAACGCGUGAGUAACCUGCCCUGGAGUGGGGGACAACAGUUGGAAACGACUGCUAAUACCGCAUAAGCCCACGGAGCCGCAUGGCUCUGAGGGAAAAGGAUUUAUUCGCUUCAGGAUGGACUCGCGUCCAAUUAGCUAGUUGGUGAGGUAACGGCCCACCAAGGCGACGAUUGGUAGCCGGACUGAGAGGCUGAACGGCCACAUUGGGACUGAGACACGGCCCAGACUCCUACGGGAGGCAGCAGUGGGGGAUAUUGCACAAUGGGGGAAACCCUGAUGCAGCGACGCCGCGUGGAGGAAGAAGGUUUUCGGAUUGUAAACUCCUGUCGUUAGGGACGAUAAUGACGGUACCUAACAAGAAAGCACCGGCUAACUACGUGCCAGCAGCCGCGGUAAAACGUAGGGUGCAAGCGUUGUCCGGAAUUACUGGGUGUAAAGGGAGCGCAGGCGGACCGGCAAGUUGGAAGUGAAAACCAUGGGCUCAACCCAUGAAUUGCUUUCAAAACUGCUGGCCUUGAGUAGUGCAGAGGUAGGCGGAAUUCCCGGUGUAGCGGUG
rnacentral:rRNA from 1 species